CCCUAUAACAAUACUUUCGACACAGUUAUUAUCUCCGCUGCCUCCACCAUCCACCAUGUUACACACAGUGCUCACUGCUGAUUCUAAAAUGCGCCACCUAGUCAAAACAGGACAUAUGUUCUUCUAGGAAUAGAUCUCUUUCCAAUAUUUCGUCAUUCCACUAUCGUCAUCACCUCAUCAUACUUUCAUUGACAUUACAGGCACACAUCCACAGAGCACUCUUCAAAUCAUCUACACAGUGGUUAUCCAACUAGGAUUAUAAAGGCACAAAUUGACAUAGACCUGACCACUGUUGCAAUCAACGACACAGUCGCUAUCCAAGUAGCAUUAUAGAGCUGUCAUGCAACGCAACAACUGUGCUAUCUGCCAUCGCACAUCAACGAAGAAGUGCAGCCGCCCACAUUCCACCUCACGUCUGUCCGACCAGCUGCAAUCCUCGAGGACGCCCCACUGUACCACGAUUUCACUACGAUGUUUGACAAGAAGGAGCAGUGCGCGAGAUAGGCUAAUGAGCAGACUUCCCUCGCUUGAGUUUCAGAAGAAUGUUCCAUAUCGCGCUAAGCUGACCACUGCUGACCAUGACAGGCGUGCAUUGGACUGGUACAGGUUGGAACUGAACAUUGAAUAU